GUGGCUCAAAGGUUAGGGCACCAGCCUCAUAUACUGGAGGUGGUAGGUUCAAACCCAACC
rnacentral:tRNA from 1 species